UGCGUCUGCAGAAAUCUGAAGACCAUCCCAGGCCGCCGACUUAAUUACGUCCAGGAUGCACGCCAGAGGUGAAAAGCCGCCGAGCACUGUUUUUCAAUCAUCAUCUCGCCAACUGACCUGGACUAGUGACACUAAAACCAGCAAUUAAAAGCCUCAGAUUCAAAUGCAUCCUGUUAAGGAGCCAUGGGUGAUUAGAUCAUAAAUCUGAGUGACCUUGAAGAUGAUGAAGGAAAUGUGCUUUGUAAGGCCAUCAUCUUGCCACCGAUCCAUCACUGACACAUCUUUACAGUUACAGCCUCAGCUUUCUUUAACCUUUUCUGGAGGGCCUAGUCUGAAUUCUGUUGAGCUCCUUCGGGCAGAAGAAAUGCUCUCACAAACCUGUGCUUCGAGGAGGAAGAGACCUGGGGCCCUACAGUGUGAUAGAAAGAAGGUAGAGUGGGGGAGACUUUCCAGAGGUUGCUGACCUU